UGAAGCAGAGAGCUGGACUUUGGGCGGGGAGGCAUUUUGGUGCACUCAGCUCACGGUGCUGAGGGACCCCCAGGGAUCUGGGAGCAGCACCUCGGGGAGCCCCACACAGCCCCGCUGUGCUCGGAUAGCCAACUCCUGCUUGAAGUGUUGCUGUUCUGUGGUAUGGCCCAAAGGGAAGCUGAAGAGGCAGCUCAGAGCAAGGUCUUGAGGCAGGUGGCCGUGAGCGCACAGCUGCUGUGUGGGUGCCAGGGCUGAUGGGCAGCACCUGGGCCUAGCCUCCCACCAAGUCCUGGUCGGGCAGCACCAUCCCUCAGCAGAAGCUAUAUAGGGCAGUUUCUAGCAGGCAGCAACCCUCAUUCUCUGGGGUAGCUCCUCAGGAGAGGAAUAAGGUGCUUAGGCAUAAUUUGAUGUUCCUUUAUGCUGAAGUGACAGCUCCUGGUGAUGCGUGACAGUACAGCCAAGAAAUCUGUACAUAGGAUGCGUCUUCUCCUGCUGGAUAGUUCUCCAGAAAGGGAUUUAGCAGGCAUAAACAAGACUGCAACUAACUGGUUGAAAAUUUAAUCUGUUUUUCCUCCUGUGGGGAACACCUAAGGUAUCUUGAAGUAACAUUUUUCAAUGGACGUUUUUCUGGGAAGGCCUUUUGCGUGAAGAAAAGAAAAAAGACCCCUUGCUGUCCCAGAAUGGUUGAUAGCCUGGUGUUUUUGGUGUGCCUCUGGAAUGUCCGAGUCCUGUUAGUUUUGGAGAAAGGCCUGGAAACCUGGGUUUUCAAUAUUCUGUGAAAGUC